AUUCAACUAAAAUGUCAUUUAUGUAUUAAUUUUCAUGAUGUCGAUAACAGAUCCUUAAUUUUAUAAGUAUUAAAGAAAAAAAAACAUGUCAAAUAACUUGCAGUGAUUACUCACAAAAAUUAAUCUCAUCAAAUCCUUUGAAUAGUACCUUUUAAAUUUAUUCAAUCAUAUUUGUUCAUGAAUGUUUUAUAUGUGACAGGCCUACUAUUUUCAUGUUAAAUUGUACUGUAACUAUAAUUUGUCUAUUAAUUUUGAAGAAAUUUUGUUUUGUUUCAGUGCAUCUCUACGUGCCACUUUAAUGCCCAGAGGGGCCCGCCCAUUCUGCCCAGCGCACCCCUACUACCCCUUUGGCUUCCACCCCCCCC